rnacentral:SRP_RNA from 1 species
GCCAGGUGCGGUGGCACGUGCCUGUAGUCCCAGCUACUCAGGAGGCUGAGGUGGGAGGAUCUCUUGAGCCCAGGAGUUCUGGGCUGUAGUGCGCUACACCCACCGAGUAUCCACACUAAGUUUGGCAUCACGGUGACCUCUUGAGAGCCGGGGACCACUAGGUUGCCUAAGGAGGGGUGAACCGGCCCAGUUUGGAAAUGGAGCAAGUCAAAACUCCCGUGCUGAUCAGUAGUGGGAUCACGCCUGUGAAUAGCCGCUGCACUCCAGCCUGGGCAACAUAGUGAGACCCCCUUCU